GGUUACUCAGAUUCUAGUAGCUCAGAUAUAGUAAGGGAGCAACCCAUACUAUACCCACGAUCUCCCUCCCCGUACAGAUCGCUGUCAGGGAUGAUUCACUUGAUGAACAUUAUUCUAGAAGCCCUAAUCACUCUGUCUCUUGAAGCAUGUCUCCUCUUAAAGCAAGGAGGAGUAGGAGUCAGACUCCGGCCGGCAACCAUUUACACUCGCCGGAAAGAUCUCCUUCUCCUACAUGAAGGACCCAAAUUAUUUGUGGAACUUCCAGGUCAAUGUCAAGGUCCACAUUAUAUACAUCAUCAAGUUUUUGAGUAAAAUUCACCUGUUAUUUCCUUUCUGGUAAUGAAAAUAGUCUACAUUGUCGAGAUAUAAUAGACUUUUCUUAGAGAGAAAUUGGUGCAUUUAUUUAAAGUUUUUAGAAGUUGUGGUUUUUCCUUUCAAUUGCAAGAUAAGUAUAGGUUGUGCUUUUAGGUGUUAUGUGAGUUGGCACUAGGGUAUGGAUAUGAAAAGUUAUGGUUUAAUUAUUGAAUUACUUAGGGCUGGCUAGUCUGAACCUUUUGUUAAAACUUGAUAGUUUUUUGAAAAAUUAAUUAUUAUUAUUUAUUUAAG
rnacentral:lncRNA from 1 species